rnacentral:tRNA from 1 species
GCUCCGGUCGUAUAGACUGGUCAAGUAUAUCGGCCUCUCGAGCCGAAGACCCGGGUUCAAAUCCCGGCCGGAGCA